rnacentral:rRNA from 1 species
GAAUACAUAGCUAUACGAGGGUAAACCUAGGGAACUGAAACAUCUAAGUACCUAGAGGAAGAGAAAGAAAAAUCGAUUUCCUAAGUAGCGGCGAGCGAAAGGGAAAGAGCCCAAACCAAAGAUUUAUCUUUGGGGUUGCGGACAGAGCAUUAACGAGAAGUCGUAACUAACCGAACACAACUGGAAAGUUGGACCGUAGGAGGUAAUAGUCCUGUAGGUGAAAGUUAAGAUAAUCAAGCUCUGAUCCAGAGUACCACGAGACACGUGAAACCUUGUGGGAAGCAGGGAGGACCACCUCCCAAGGCUAAAUACUACCUGAUGACCGAUAGUGAAGCAGUACCGUGAGGGAAAGGUGAAAAGAACCCCGGGAGGGGAGUGAAAUAGAACCUGAAACCGUGUGCCUACAACCGGUCAAAGCCCCAUAUGAGGGUGAUGACGUGCUUUUUGUAGAACGAGCCAACGAGUUACGGUAUGUAGCAAGGUUAAGUACUUAAGGUACGGAGCCGAAGGGAAACCGAGUCUUAAUAGGGCGACUAGUUGCAUGCCGUAGACCCGAAACCGGGUGACCUAUCCAUGGCCAGGUUGAAGCGAGGGUAAAACUUCGUGGAGGACCGAACCACGUUGCUGUUGAAAAAGCAUGGGAUGAGCUGUGGAUAGCGGAGAAAUUCCAAUCGAACUCGGAGAUAGCUGGUUCUCCCCGAAAUAGCUUUAGGGCUAGCGUCGGAUAUGUGUAGUGGAGGUAGAGCACUGAAUGGGCUAGGGGGCAUAUCGCUUACCGAACCUUAUCAAACUCCGAAUGCCAUAUACAUUUAGUCCGGCAGUCAGACUACGAAUGAUAAGAUCCGUGGUCAAAAGGGAAACAGCCCAGAUCGUCAGCUAAGGUCCCAAAGUGUAAGUUAAGUGGAAAAGGAUGUGGGAUUUCUAAGACAACUAGGAUGUUGGCUUAGAAGCAGCCACUCAUUUAAAGAGUGCGUAAUAGCUCACUAGUCGAGAGAUCCUGCGCCGAAAAUGUCCGGGGCUCAAACUUACCACCGAAGCUACGGGCUUGCGUAAGCAAGCGGUAGGGGAGCGUCGUAAUCGGGCUGAAGUCGUACCGUAAGGAGCGGUGGACUGAUUACGAGUGAGAAUGUUGGCAUUAGUAGCGAGAUGUAGGUGAGAAUCCUACAGGCCGAAUAUCUAAGGUUUCCUCAGGAAGGCUCGUCCGCUGAGGGUUAGUCGGGACCUAAGCCGAGGCCGAAAGGCGUAGGCGAUGGACAAUCGGUUGAUAUUCCGAUACCACUACCAUCGUUAUUAUCGAGGGUGUGACGGAGAAGGAUAGUGUGUGCUAGCGAUUGGAAAUGCUAGUCUAAGCGUUUAGGGAGUUACGGUAGGCAAAUCCGCUGUAACAAUUCUGAGGCGUGAUGGGGAAGGCCAUAUAGGCCGAAGUACAUGAUUCCAUGCUUCCAAGAAAAGCAUCUAGAGAGAGAAGUAGUGCCCGUACCGCAAACCGACACAGGUAGAUGAGGAGAGAAUCCUAAGGCCGGCGGAAGAAUUGCAGUUAAGGAACUAGGCAAAUUGACCCCGUAAGUUCGCGAGAAGGGGUGCCUGCGAGAGCAGGCCGCAGAGAAUAGGCCCAAGCAACUGUUUAGCAAAAACACAGGUCUCUGCUAAAGCGUAAGCUGAUGUAUAGGGGCUGACGCCUGCCCGGUGCUGGAAGGUUAAGGGGAACACUUAGCGCAAGCGAAGGUGUGAACUUAAGCCCCAGUAAACGGCGGCCGUAACUAUAACGGUCCUAAGGUAGCGAAAUUCCUUGUCAGGUAAGUUCUGACCCGCACGAAUGGCGUAAUGACUUGGGCACUGUCUCAACUGCAAAUCCGGCGAAGUUGUAGUGCGAGUGAAGAUGCUCGCUACCCGCGAUUGGACGGAAAGACCCCGUAGAGCUUUACUGUAGCUUAGCAUUGAAUUCCGGUAUUGUCUGUACAGGAUAGGUGGGAGACUGGGAAACUAGGGCGUCAGCCUUAGUGGAGUCAACCUUGGGAUACCACCCUGACAGUACUGGGGUUCUAACAGGACGCCAUGAAUCUGGUGACUGGACAUUGUUAGGUGGGCAGUUUGACUGGGGCGGUCGCCUCCUAAAAAGUAACGGAGGCGCCCAAAGGUUCCCUCAGAACGGUCGGAAAUCGUUCGUAGAGUGCAAAGGCAGAAGGGAGCCUGACUGCGAGACAUACAAGUCGAGCAGGGACGAAAGUCGGGCUUAGUGAUCCGG